UGGCGAAGCUGUGCUUGCACAGCCUAGCCAAGGCGGAUGGGUGAGUAACGCGUAAGGAACUUGCCCUGCAGUCAGGGAUAACAGACGGAAACGACUGAUAAGACCUGGUAAAGUCAGGCGGACUCAUGUCCAGCCUGAUGAAAAGAGAUGCUGCAGGAGAGCCUUGCGUCCUAUUAGCUUGUUGGUGGGGUGACGGCCCACCAAGGCGAUGAUAGGUAGCCGGCCUGAGAGGGUGGACGGCCACAAGGGGACUGAGAUACGGCCCUUACUCCUACGGGAGGCAGCAGUGGGGAAUAUUGGACAAUGGGGGCAACCCUGAUCCAGCAAUUCUGUGUGCACGAUGAAGGUUUUCGGAUUGUAAAGUGCUUUCAGCAGGGAAGAAAAAAAUGACGGUACCUGCAGAAGAAGCGACGGCUAAAUACGUGCCAGCAGCCGCGGUAAUACGUAUGUCGCAAGCGUUAUCCGGAAUUAUUGGGCAUAAAGGGCAUCUAGGCGGCCAGAUAAGUCUGGGGUGAAAACUUGCGGCUCAACCGCAAGCCUGCCCUGGAAACUAUGUGGCUAGAGUACUGGAGAGGUGGACGGAACUGCACGAGUAGAGGUGAAAUUCGUAGAUAUGUGCAGGAAUGCCGAUGAUGAAGAUAGUUCACUGGACGGUAACUGACGCUGAAGUGCGAAAGCUAGGGGAGCAAACAGGAUUAGAUACCCUGGUAGUCCUAGCUGUAAACGAUGAUUACUGGGUGUGGGCAUGAAGAGUGUCCGUGCCGAAGC
rnacentral:rRNA from 1 species